rnacentral:rRNA from 1 species
AACGAACGCUGGCGGCAUGCCUAACACAUGCAAGUCGAACGAGACCUUCGGGUCUAGUGGCGCACGGGUGCGUAACGCGUGGGAAUCUGCCCUUUGCUUCGGAAUAACAGUUAGAAAUGACUGCUAAUACCGGAUGAUGUCUUCGGACCAAAGAUUUAUCGGCAAAGGAUGAGCCCGCGUAAGGAUUAGGUAGUUGGUGGGGUAAAGGCCUACCAAGCCGACGAUCCUUAGCUGGUCUGAGAGGAUGAUCAGCCACACUGGGACUGAGACACGGCCCAGACUCCUACGGGAGGCAGCAGUGGGGAAUAUUGGACAAUGGGCGCAAGCCUGAUCCAGCAAUGCCGCGUGAGUGAUGAAGGCCUUCGGGUCGUAAAGCUCUUUACCAGGGAAGUGAUAAUGACAGUACCUGGAGAAUAAGACUCCGGCUAACUCCGUGCCAG